rnacentral:lncRNA from 1 species
UAACAAAGUUAUUGGUUUCAUAUCAAUGCCCUACCACAUUCCCUAUUAGCACAAGGACCUGCAAGUAAUAUUAGACGCUCUAAAUUAAGGCUGUUGAGACAAUUCACAAGAAACCAUAUCUAUAAUUGUUUAAAAGUAUAUAUACUUAAUGGCUGUUGCAACCAUUCAAAGUUAUGUUGAAUGGUCAUAGUCGCUUUCGAACACGCUUUGAAGUCAGCAAACAUACCAAUCUUCCUACUCAACAGCGUCGUCUCCGUCAUCUUACAUGCAUAAUUGGAAGAAAUAUUGAUGCAAAACUAGUUCCGGUAACUCGACAGAAUAAAUAUUCUCUUCUAAGCUUAUACUUUACACUUCAUGCAUCAGAUAAUCAAAAC